rnacentral:rRNA from 1 species
CAUCCUGGCUCAGGAUGAACGCUAGCGACAGGCCUAACACAUGCAAGUCGAGGGGCAGCGGAGAGGUAGCAAUACCUUUGCCGGCGACCGUCGCACGGGUGAGUAACACGUAUGCAAUCCACCUGUAACAGGGGGAUAACCCGGAGAAAUCCGGACUAAUACCCCAUAAUAUGGGCGCUCCGCAUGGAGAGCCCAUUAAAUAGAGCAAUUUUGGUUACAGACGAGCAUGCGCUCCA